CACCAAAAAUCCCUUUCUUCCCCCCUUCAUCUCACGGCAGCCAACACCCCUCUAAAUCUCACCUUUUUCAUUCUUCAAACAUCUCAUUUUAACCUAUAAAAAAUCCCAUUUCAAGACCAUCUAAAAAGCUAGCAAACAUGGAGGAUCAUUAGGAGCUUGUUCUUGUCAUUUUGGAAGCCUUAUUCUCUUCAUAAUCUUCAUCCCAAAGCUCACUAACCUCUUGCAAAAUUAUGAUGCUUUUACAUGUGUUAACUCACGCUUACGGAACACAGUUGCUAGAACUUAUUGCUGGACGCAAUACUGUACUAAGUGGAUCUUGGUGCAACGAAUUAAGAAGUUUCAAGUUAUUAUGAAGACGAUGUCAUCCAUAUUUUGGAGG
rnacentral:lncRNA from 1 species